AAACGACUCUCGGCAACGGAUAUCUCGGCUCUCGCAUCGAUGAAGAACGUAGCGAAAUGCGAUACUUGGUGUGAAUUGCAGAAUCCCGUGAACCAUCGAGUCUUUGAACGCAAGUUGCGCCCGAAGCCUUUUGGCCAAGGGCACGUCUGCCUGGGCAUCACGCAUCG
rnacentral:rRNA from 1 species